rnacentral:rRNA from 1 species
ACCGUAUAGGGGAGCCGAAGGGAAACCGAGUCUUAACCGGGCGUUAAGUUGCAGGGUAUAGACCCGAAACCCGGUGAUCUAGCCAUGGGCAGGUUGAAGGUUGGGUAACACUAACUGGAGGACCGAACCGACUAAUGUUGAAAAAUUAGCGGAUGACCUGUGGCUGGGGGUGAAAGGCCAAUCAAACCGGGAGAUAGCUGGUUCUCCCCGAAAGCUAUUUAGGUAGCGCCUCGUGAAUUCAUCUCCGGGGGUAGAGCACUGUUUCGGCUAGGGGGCCAUCCCGGCUUACCAACCCGAUGCAAACUGCGAAUACCGGAGAAUGUUAUCACGGGAGACACACGGCGGGUGCUAACGUCCGUCGUGAAGAGGGAAACAACCCAGACCGCCAGCUAAGGUCCCAAAGUCAUGGUUAAGUGGGAAACGAUGUGGGAAGGCCCAGACAGCCAGGAUGUUGGCUUAGAAGCAGCCAUCAUUUAAAGAAAGCGUAAUAGCUCACUGGUCGAGUCGGCCUGCGCG